AAUUCAACAAGUUCUGGAGUGUAUUUAUUCAGAUUUAUAACCAGUUUGACAGGUGGGCGUUGGGUAUCUUAUCCAGGAGCAACUGUUAUAGUCACAGAUUUAAAAGUGUCCAUGAUGAAGUUCGGAGACAAUGAAAACAUAACAGUUGGAGACUCUUUGAAUUUGACAUGCACUGUGUCCUGCCCUGGUCAUUUAGCAGAGCUUCAAUGGUUUAAGGGUCAUCAGACAAUACCACGUUCAGGCCCCAUCCUCACCUUCAGAAGUGUGACUCCUGAAGACUCUGGGAAUUACUCUUGUUCUUUAAAAAACUUUAAAUCAAGCGAAUCAGAACAAAUCAGACUGUAUGUUAAAGACACUUCUGGGCCUACAACAUAUUUUGGGGUUGUGAUUAUUGAAGCGUGUUUCUUGAUUAUUUUCAUUGUUGCAGCUGUGAUACUUCUAACAAGGCCAGCCAACACUGAGCAACAAAUGAAAGAUUCAUCCAUAUAUACUACAGUGAAAUUUUAUGAAGUUAAAGGAGAAAUGUUAACAGACCACAUAUACCAUAAUUAAUGCGAGUGAACCCAUUUAUCCCACUACCAGGUGGCACCCUCUCCCAAACUAGAAUAUGGAUACACACUCUUCUUUUACAGUUACUUCCUCUUCUUAUAUAUUUACUGUAAGCCAUGUCAUUUUUGUUCUCAUUGUGAAGUAUUUUCAGUUCUAUCUGCGUAUAGAGCAUUCAUAGCCAUAUUAGCCAUUGUUCCAUGACUGAUUACUGGAUUACCCUUUUGCUUGUU